UACGUAGGGGGCUAGCGUUGUCCGGAUUUAUUGGGCGUAAAGAGCGUGUAGGCGGCCAGAUAGGUCUGCUGUGAAAACUCGAGGCUCAACCUCGAGAUGUCGGCGGAAACCAUUUGGCUAGAGUCCGGAAGAGGAAAGUGGAAUUCCUGGUGUAGCGGUGAAAUGCGCAGAUAUCAGGAGGAACACCGGUGGCGAAGGCGGGUCUCUGGGCCGAUACUGACGCUGAGGAGCGAAAGCGUGGGGAGCAAACAGG
rnacentral:rRNA from 1 species